UACGACGGGGGCUAGCGUUGCUCGGAAUCACUGGGCGUAAAGGGUGCGUAGGCGGGUCUUUAAGUCAGGUGUGAAAUCCUGGAGCUCAACUCCAGAACUGCCUUUGAUACUGAAGAUCUUGAGUUCGGGAGAGGUGAGUGGAACUGCGAGUGUAGAGGUGAAAUUCGUAGAUAUUCGCAAGAACACCAGUGGCGAAGGCGGCUCACUGGCCCGGUACUGACGCUGAGGUGCGAAAGCGUGGGGAGCAAACAGG
rnacentral:rRNA from 1 species